GAGAUUUGAUCCUGGCUCAGGACGAACGCUGGCGGCGUGCCUAAUACAUGCAAGUCGAGCGAAUCGAUGGGAGCUUGCUCCCUGAGAUUAGCGGCGGACGGGUGAGUAACACGUGGGCAACCUGCCUAUAAGACUGGGAUAACUUCGGGAAACCGGAGCUAAUACCGGAUACGUUCUUUUCUCGCAUGAGAGAAGAUGGAAAGACGGUUUACGCUGUCACUUAUAGAUGGGCCCGCGGCGCAUUAGCUAGUUGGUGAGGUAAUGGCUCACCAAGGCGACGAUGCGUAGCCGACCUGAGAGGGUGAUCGGCCACACUGGGACUGAGACACGGCCCAGACUCCUACGGGAGGCAGCAGUAGGGAAUCUUCCGCAAUGGACGAAAGUCUGACGGAGCAACGCCGCGUGAACGAAGAAGGCCUUCGGGUCGUAAAGUUCUGUUGUUAGGGAAGAACAAGUACCAGAGUAACUGCUGGUACCUUGACGGUA
rnacentral:rRNA from 2 species